CGAAAGCCUGACGGAGCAAGACCGCGUGAGGGAGGAAGGCUCUUGGGUUGUAAACCUCUUUUCUCAGGGAAGAAGCUCUGACGGUACCUGAGGAAUCAGCCUCGGCUAACUCCGUGCCAGCAGCCGCGGUAAUACGGAGGAGGCAAGCGUUAUCCGGAAUUAUUGGGCGUAAAGCGUCCGCAGGUGGCGAUUCAAGUCUGCUGUCAAAGCCAGGAGCUCAACUCCUGUCCGGCAGUGGAAACUGACCCACUCGAGGGUGGUAGGGGAAGAGGGAAUUCCCGGUGUAGCGGUGAAAUGCGUAGAGAUCGGGAAGAACAUCGGUGGCGAAAGCGCUCUACUGGACGGCAACUGACGCUGAGGGACGAAAGCUAGGGGAGCG
rnacentral:rRNA from 1 species